UACAGAGGUCCCAAGCGUUGUUCGGAUUCAUUGGGCGUAAAGGGUGCGUAGGUGGCGCCGUAAGUCGGGUGUGAAAUUUCGGAGCUUAACUCCGAAACUGCAUUCGAUACUGCGGUGCUUGAGGACUGGAGAGGAGACUGGAAUUCAUGGUGUAGCAGUGAAAUGCGUAGAGAUCAUGAGGAAGACCGUGGCGAAGGCGGGUCUCUGGACAGUUCCUGACACUGAGGCACGAAGGCCAGGGGAGCAAACGGG
rnacentral:rRNA from 1 species